UACAGAGGUCUCAAGCGUUGUUCGGAUUCACUGGGCGUAAAGGGUGCGUAGGUGGCCAGGAAAGUCUGAUGUGAAAUCUUCGAGCUCAACUCGGAAACUGCAUUGGAAACUAUUUGGCUAGAGGGUCGGAGGGGGGACUGGAAUUCUCGGUGUAGCAGUGAAAUGCGUAGAUAUCGAGAGGAACACCAGUGGCGAAGGCGAGUCCCUGGACGACUCCUGACACUGAGGCACGAAAGCUAGGGGAGCAAACAGG
rnacentral:rRNA from 1 species